rnacentral:rRNA from 1 species
CCUACGGGUGGCUGCAGUGGGGAAUAUUGGACAAUGGGCGAAAGCCUGAUCCAGCCAUGCCGCGUGUGUGAAGAAGGCCUUCGGGUUGUAAAGCACUUUCAGUGGGGAAGAAAGCCUUGGGGCUAAUACCCUCGAGGAAGGACAUCACCCACAGAAGAAGCACCGGCUAACUCCGUGCCAGCAGCCGCGGUAAUACGGAGGGUGAGAGCGUUAAUCGGAAUUACUGGGCGUAAAGCGCGCGUAGGCGGUCUGAUAAGCCGGUUGUGAAAGCCCCGGGCUCAACCUGGGAACGGCAUCCGGAACUGUCAGGCUAGAGUGCAGGAGAGGAAGGUAGAAUUCCCGGUGUAGCGGUGAAAUGCGUAGAGAUCGGGAGGAAUACCAGUGGCGAAGGCGGCCUUCUGGACUGACACUGACGCUGAGGUGCGAAAGCGUGGGUAGCAAACAGGAUUAGAUACCCUAGUAGUC